rnacentral:rRNA from 1 species
UACGUAGAGGGCAAGCGUUGUCCGGAUUUAUUGGGCGUAAAGAGCGUGUAGGCGGCCAGGUAGGUCCGCUGUGAAAACUCGAGGCUUAACCUCGAGAUGUCAUCGGAAACCAUCUGGCUAGAGUCCGGAAGAGGAGAGUGGAAUUCCUGGUGUAGCGGUGAAAUGCGCAGAUAUCAGGAAGAACACCAAUGGCGAAGGCAGCUCGCUGGAACGGUACUGACGCUGAGGCGCGAAAGCGUGGGGAGCAAACGGG